rnacentral:rRNA from 1 species
AUUGAACGCUGGCGGCAUGCUUUACACAUGCAAGUCGAACGGCAGCGCGGGCUUCGGCCUGGCGGCGAGUGGCGAACGGGUGAGUAAUGCAUCGGAACGUGCCCAGUAGUGGGGGAUAGCCCGGCGAAAGCCGGAUUAAUACCGCAUACGACCUGAGGGUGAAAGCGGGGGACCGAAAGGCCUCGCGCUAUUUGAGCGGCCGAUGUCGGAUUAGCUAGUUGGUUGGGUAAAGGCUUACCAAGGCGACGAUCCGUAGCUGGUCUGAGAGGACGACCAGCCACACUGGGACUGAGACACGGCCCAGACUCCUACGGGAGGCAGCAGUGGGGAAUUUUGGACAAUGGGGGCAACCCUGAUCCAGCAAUGCCGCGUGCGGGAAGAAGGCCUUCGGGUUGUAAACCGCUUUUGUUCGGGAAGAAAUCCUCUGGGCUAAUACCCCGGGGGGAUGACGGUACCGGAAGAAUAAGCACCGGCUAACUACGUG